UACGAAGGGGGCUAGCGUUGUUCGGAAUUACUGGGCGUAAAGCGUGCGCAGGCGGCUUCUCAAGUCAGGGGUGAAAGCCCAGAGCUCAACUCUGGAAUUGCCUUUGAGACUGAGUGGCUUGAGUACGGGAGAGGUGAGUGGAAUUCCCAGUGUAGAGGUGAAAUUCGUAGAUAUUGGGAAGAACACCGGUGGCGAAGGCGGCUCACUGGCCCGUAACUGACGCUGAGACACGAAAGCGUGGGUAGCAAACAGG
rnacentral:rRNA from 1 species